CCCCUUUUUAAAAGCACUCAUUGGGCCUUUUGCUAAUGGCCCACGGAGCCCUCAAGAGAAAGGGCAAAGUAAAAACACCGCUUUUGGGUGAAACAGCAGCAUGUUGUGUUGUUUUGCUUCAAUCGGUGGUGUGACAAGU
rfam:Myotis davidii contig126946, whole genome shotgun sequence.